UACGGAGGGAGCUAGCGUUGUUCGGAAAUACUGGGCGUAAAGCGCACGUAGGCGGCGCAGCAAGUCAGGGGUGAAAUCCCGGGGCUCAACCCCGGAACUGCCCUUGAAACUGCAGUGCUAGAAUUCUGGAGAGGCGAGUGGAAUUCCGAGUGUAGAGGUGAAAUUCGUAGAUAUUCGGAAGAACACCAGUGGCGAAGGCGACUCGCUGGACAGACAUUGACGCUGAGGUGGCGAAAAGCGUGGGGAGCAAACAGG
rnacentral:rRNA from 1 species